rnacentral:rRNA from 1 species
CCUACGGGAGGCAGCAGUGGGGAAUUUUGGACAAUGGGCGCAAGCCUGAUCCAGCCAUGCCGCGUGCGGGAAGAAGGCCUUCGGGUUGUAAACCGCUUUUGUCAGGGAAGAAAAGGUUCUGGCUAAUACCUGGGACUCAUGACGGUACCUGAAGAAUAAGCACCGGCUAACUACGUGCCAGCAGCCGCGGUAAUACGUAGGGUGCAAGCGUUAAUCGGAAUUACUGGGCGUAAAGCGUGCGCAGGCGGUUAUGCAAGACAGAGGUGAAAUCCCCGGGCUCAACCUGGGAACUGCCUUUGUGACUGCAUAGCUAGAGUACGGUAGAGGGGGAUGGAAUUCCGCGUGUAGCAGUGAAAUGCGUAGAUAUGCGGAGGAACACCGAUGGCGAAGGCAAUCCCCUGGACCUGUACUGACGCUCAUGCACGAAGACGUGGGAGGACGAACGACGAGUAGUAGUACCGUACCGUACGGUACGUACCGACCCGUAACCCGUAACGUACGUACGUACUACGUUAGGUUUGGGUUAGGGGUUUACGGUUUCGUUCUACGUAACGUAACGUACGUACGUACGUCGUAGUAGUACGUACCGUCGGGUGGGUACGGGUCCGGCCGACGGUAGGUAACGUAACGAACGAAAGUAAGUAGGCGUGAGAGAGACGACGGACGACGACGACGGAGGGAGGAGG